GACGUAGGGCGCGAGCGUUGUCCGGAUUUAUUGGGCGUAAAGAGCGUGUAGGCGGCUCGAUUAGUCCGCUGUGAAAGUCGGGGGCUCAACCCUCGAAUGCCGGUGGAUACUGUCGGGCUAGAGUGCGGAAGAGGCGAGUGGAAUUCCUGGUGUAGCGGUGAAAUGCGCAGAUAUCAGGAGGAACACCUAUUGCGAAGGCAGCUCGCUGGGACGUAACUGACGCUGAGACGCGAAGCGUGGGUAGCAAACAGG
rnacentral:rRNA from 1 species